rnacentral:lncRNA from 1 species
AAAAACCAAAAAAAAAAAAAAAAAAAAAAAAAAAAAAACCCAAAACAAAACAAACAAACAAACAAAAAACAGUUACAAAAGGACAAAUACUGUGCCAUUCUAUUUAUGUAAAACAACCAGAAUUUUCAACUUCAUAGAGACAGAAAGUAGAACUGGCAGACUAGUGAGAUAGCUCAGCAGUUAGGAGCCCUUGGUCUGCAAGCAUCAGCACCAGAGUGUGGAUCCCAGUCCCCAGAUAACAAGCUAGGAGUGGUCCCACAUGGGACAACAGUCCCAGCACUGAGGAGGGUGGAGACAGGAAGAUUGCUGCUGCUUCCUGACUGCUAGAACGCUGAGCUUCAAGUUCAAUGAGAGAUCCUGCAUCAAAGGAAUGAUGCCGAGGGCCACAGAGGAGAAUGCUCUACUUUAGCUGGACACGUAUGCAUGCACUUUUGCACACAUGUAAGCAUUUACCUCAUUCAGAUAUGCACACACACACACACACACAAUGGUUGAGAUUCACCUGUUGUGGCUGUGCCCCAAGUGCCAGGAUGAAGGCAGAGGCAGUGGGGCCUGGGCCAGAGACAGCCCUUUGCCUGCAGCAGUCUGAGUUCCAUAUGAAUACUCUAUGCUCAGGAUAAUUCAGGAUUUUUGACUUCAUUACACAGAAGAAUUUCAAAACAAGCCAGCAUAAAACAGAGUUGAGAGUUUAUUAAGUUUCAAUAUAGAUUUAAGCAGAGGUUUAACAGACCAAGGGGCUCGAGUGUAAUUCUCAAGGACAAAGUCAUGCAUGUCUUUAUAAUAGUCAUAUAUAUGUUUGUUAAACUCUUCUAAACUUAUUACAUUCAUUUUGUGCAUGUAAGUUUGCAUUGCGUGUGUGGCGGUCAGAGGACAACCUGUGAGAACUGGUUCUCCUUCCCUUUAUAUGGGUUCCAGGGAUCAAUUUUGGGUUGUCAGGCUUGGUGGCAAGUGCUUUAACCUGCAAUGAUUUUGGUGGCUUCUGAAGUUACACCUUAAAUGAUUGCUAAGGCACUUAAAUGCUAUCACAAGGUAGCCCCUGACCUGAGGUCGCAAGGGUUGUACAGGAGUUUUUAUUUUUGGGAUUCUCAGAAAUUGUAGGCUUCCAUUUAGGGGAGUAAAAUCAUGUGCGUCCAGGGCUUCAGCAUACUUGAUUGCUAUUUAAGCAUUCUUAUUUGGAAUCUAUAUAGAAAAGGAAUCUUUUUGUUAAGGAUAUAGCUUAGUUAGUAGUACUUGCCUGGCAUUCGUGAAGUCUUGGAUUUGAUCACCAGUCCUCUGUAACUGCAUGCUAGCCAGCCACAUGCCUGUAAUCCCAGAAUGCAGAUAGAGGUGGAGCCAAAAUUCAAGGUCACCUUGGGUGCAUAGUGUAAGAAACUUGUUUUUAACAAGCUUAUAUUAUACAAUUAACAGAAAAUAAUCUGAGAAGUUCUGUUCCCAGACAUAUAGCCUGAGACCCGCUUUCUUGUCAGUGCUAUCAAAGGAGAGGGGGAUCUCUACUCUUCAUCCCUAAGUGAGAGAGAACCCUGAGGACUGAUUGAGCUCCAGGUCCAGAGGUCUUGGUCGUGAUUCCUCCUCUAUCCUGGAGUUUGAUAUGUAGGGCAGUAAUACCUACACAUAUGGGGCCACAUAAUGGCUUACGGGGAGGACUCACCUCAAUCAACCUUCAUCUUUAUAAUAGUUACUCAGCAGAGGGUUUCCUUGCCAGAAAGAGUAGUGAUGUGGACAAAGGUUUCACUGAAGGAUGCAAAGAUACAGCAGACACCAAAUACAUUCUGUUUUUCAGCCAUUUGAGGUCCUCGGCUGAUGACUUGUUCUUCCUUCUUUUAUUUCCCCUAGGGAGAUGCCCUUUCUUCCUGUUGUCUCCAGACUCCUCCACUGGAAAGAGAGAGUGGGCUGAUAGGCCACUCUUGGUUUUGGUUUUUUGUUUUAACCAAAGGUAGUAGGACACAUAUUUCCACAACUUCCUUCCCUUUGCACAGAUUAGCAUACACAUAAGACAGUGAAGGUGAACUCUCACCAAUGGGAUGAGACAUUGUCACCACCUACAUCAGCAUCAGGGAUAAAAGAUGGUUGCCAUAGGACUGAUGUGCUUGCUACUCUGGUUUGGUACACUGUUUUUGCAAAAAAGAAUUGCUGUGACAAGCUGCUCUCACUUUGCUGGUGUGUUCCUUUGUGAAUAACAAGAUUCACAUUAAAAAAUAUUCAUUGUUUCUAACAGUUGAGGUC